rnacentral:rRNA from 1 species
GAUGAACGCUGGCGGCGUGCCUAAUACAUGCAAGUCGAACGAACAGACGAGGAUCUUGCUCCUCUCACGUUAGCGGCGCGCGGGUGAGUAACACGUGUAUAACCUCCCUAUCAUUCUGGUAACAUUUCGAAAAACCGGAGCUAAUACCGGAUAAUAUAUUGAACCGCAUGGUGCAUUGGUAAAUUUCGGUUUUGCUGUCUCUUAUAGAUGCAUCCGUGCCGCAUUAGCUAGUUGGUAAGGUAACGGCCUACCAAGGCAACGAUGCGUAGCCGACCUGAGAGGGGGAUCGGCCACACUGGAACUGAGACACGGUCCAGACUCCUACGGGAGGCAGCAGUAGGGAAUCUUCCGCAAUGGGCGAAAGCUUGACGGAGCAACGCCGCGUGAGUGAUGAAGGUCUUCGGAUCGUAAAACUCUGUUAUUAGGGAAGAACAAAUGUGUAAGUAACUAUGCACGUCUUGACGGUACCUAAUCAGAAAGCCACGGCUAACUACGUG